AAUCAACGCUGGCGGCGUGCCUCAGACAUGCAAGUCGAACGCGAAAGUCCCCUUCGGGGGACGAGUAGAGUGGCGCACGGGUGAGUAACACGUAGGUAAUCUACCUUUGGAUGGGGAAUAACCACCAGAAACGGUGGCUAAUACCGCAUAAUGCAGCGGCACCUAAUGGUGACAGUUGUUAAAGCGGGGGAUCGCAAGACCUCGCGCCUAAAGAGGAGCCUGCGGCAGAUUAGCUAGUUGGUAAGGUAAUGGCUUACCAAGGCGAUGAUCUGUAGCCGGCCUGAGAGGGCGGUCGGCCACACUGACACUGACAUACGGGUCAGACUCCUACGGGAGGCAGCAGUCGGGAAUUUUGGGCAAUGGGCGAAUGCCUGACCCAGCAACGCCGCGUGAAGGAUGAAAUCCCUCGGGAUGUAAACUUCGCAAGAACGGGAAGAAUAAGCCGGUGCCAACACCACCGGCGAUGACGGUACUGUUUGUAAGCUCCGGCUAACUCCGUGCC
rnacentral:rRNA from 1 species